UCGCUACUCGACGCCGCUAGCAUCGGAUGUUCGCCGUCGCCGUCGUGUUCGCGUGGAAAUUCCUGCGCCCCGCAGGCCUGCUCCCAAGUGGCCCCCGCCUACCCCUGCAGUGGCUCCUACUGUGACUGUGCCUAAUGCGGCCGAGCCUAUCGGUAACUCAGGCAAGAUAGUAACAUGGGAAAAUGUGGUGAAGCGACUGAGAGGUUGCAAAAAGGUGCGGCUUCUUCCACCUCGCCGCCGACCGCGAGACCGGACUGCAAAUAACUCGCCAAACGGACCGCCGCCGUUGUGUCUUAGUCGGUCCUCUGCUCCUGCAAGUACCACCACCAGUGGCAAACAAGCUUAUGCAAAAACCAACUGAAGAAAUUAAUAAGCUGCCUUUUCUGUCAAUAUAUAUAGGCUGAACUACAACUGGACGCCGUUUCCCUAGGAGUUUGUCAUUACCGGCAGAACUUCGUGCAGGCACAACAUUGCUAAAAGUGAUAGGUAGUGUUACGGACACGCCCAAGCCAAUCGGUGAACGUGUACCUUUGGGAACCUUACAAAUACAAUAGAUGGAGGCAUGUUGGGCAACUUUGGGUCUGAUAGUGCCUCAUCUGCAAGAUCCUUUUCUCACAGUGGUCAUGUUUAAAGCUCAACUUCACUGCCCUUUUGCUUUGGAAAUUUUAAUCACCAUGAGUUGGAGUAUUUG